rnacentral:sRNA from 13 species
AAUUAUACAAUGGCAAGAGAAUAUCUUUGAUAAUUUGUACUAAUAGUUAUCAAUGCAAAAUGCUUUGCUUUCACCUCACACAUUGUAUGCAAUAUUAUACCAUUUCGAUUGCAUUUACAAAAGAAUCAAUCAAUUGAUUUGUGAGUGCGUGGUGCGUGGGUUCACUUUGGCCUGAUUUCAGAUGCUAUUUAAUUGCAAAAUAUGUAAAUUACUCUCACUCGGCGUCGCCCUUUCUCUUCUCGCACUUUGUGAUUGCAUUUUGCUGUUGGAAUUUAAUUUAAUUUAAUUUAAAAUGCUUUACCCAAUCCUUUUGUUGUCCCCUCCACGCAAGUGCAAAUUUUUGGCAUAGCACAUCGCACACUCGAACACCCACUCACCCACACACACAUACCACAGUAGUGGACACACACAGUGACACGACACAGGUAGCACUUUGACUCACACAGAUAGUUUAAAUAAAAAAAAGAAAGCACAGACACACUGACGUAGUGGGAAAGUUGUGGAUGCCUGCAAAUUUGGCAAUUCAUUCAGUUCUCCAUUCGCAUUUCUUGGCUUAAAUCGGUUUUAUAAUAAAUGGAACUAGCCGUUUUAAAGUUUCAAGUUGAGAAUUUUGUUGGGAAUAUAAAAAGGAUUAUUUCCUUCUGAUGUAUUUUAAACUCCCUAACAUAUCUGUGAAGCAUAUGUUACACAUUGACUUACUAAUGUUUUUUAUAGUUACUUAUAAAUCAAUCAAACUGAGCAUUUUGCAUCCAUCACCAGUUAAUAAACAUUUGUUUUUCAGCACAUACAUAUACCGCUUUUCACCGCUCAGUAAUAACAUCUGUUUAAUUACGUCCAACAUUGCAUUGAUGUCAUUUCUGCCACCACCACUGGAACUAAGCUGGAAAGGCGUCUGGGGAAAUGAAAAUGGGAAAGUGAGGGCGCCGAGCAUCGACAAUGCAGGUUCACAAGCUAGCAAGUGAAUUAGUAAACUGUGCUGUGCUGGGAAACUCCUGCCAUUUUCCACCCACUUUACCGCCACCGCCCAUGUGUGCAAAGAACAUUCAUAUUUAAACGCAGGCGAAAAUGAUUUGAAUGAUGCUCAGGAGAGUGACGAAGGGUGUAAAAUUUGAACAAAUAAAUCUGGGAACCAAACCGGUUUCAUCACCAUGAGGCAUCCUUUGAAAACAAUUGAGCAGUUUUGAGGAGAGCAGCUUUUUUUUUUCAGUUUUGCUGGCGGCGGCAAAUGCAACUCACGGAAAGCAUUCAAAAGCAAUUAAGCGCUUUCUUCACAGCCCAGAGAGCGCGACAGAGACGGCCUUAGAUGGUGGGAAAGAGAAGGGCGCACACAUGAGUUGAAAAUGUAAUAUCAUCAAUCAAAAAAAAAAAAAAAAAAAGAAGGAACACAAAAAUACAGAGACAGCAGAAAAAUUAAGCAGGGAGAGUGAGUGCCAAAGAAAAGCCAUGCCCAAGCUUAAAACUGGAAAUUCUCUUUUACACCGAAAGAGUUAAUGAUCUGGGAAAUAUGUCCGAUGAAAGCUGAUUUGGAAGAGAUGCAGCACGAAGCCAGCUCACGAAACGGCGGCAACAACAAAUUUAGCUUGAUUAUGCCAACCACCGACAACAACAACAAGAAGAAACAGCAAACAACCACAACGAAUUUUUUUUAUCAUCGCAUAUAUUGAAAAAUGCUUCAAACUAAAAGCCAAGCGCUGUAAUCAUAUUUAACUUUGCCUCGGUUAUGUGCCUCAUCUUCUGCAGCCGCAGCCUCAUCUCUCCUUCACCUGAUUUUGGUUGAUGCUGCUGCUGCUUCUGCUGCUGCUGCUGCUGCUGUUGCCAAACCUCAGAGGCAACCGCAACAGGUAAUUGAUGCCGCUUGCGCGUUGCAAGAACUUUAAUCAAUUUUUCAGAUAUUUUUCUUUCGUUUCGUUGCCUUUUUUCGAGUUGCUCGUCUACCUUUCUACGUGAUGAUGUUGUAUGUAUGCAUGUGUGUGUGUGUUGCAAGUGGCCAUAACAACCGAAAACGGCAACCGAAAUGGCCAACACAAACUGCCCCCCGUGGAAAGGGGUAAAAUGGAGGGGGGGGAGGGGAGGAGUGAGAGGCGGAAGCAAGGGGGGAAGAUCGCAGUGAACCCAAAUGACUGGGAAUUUGGCCAGGUAAGCCAGGUAGGUAAGUGCAGCCCAGAGCGGCCAGUGGCCAAGUGGCAAGUGGCUAUCACGGCAUGGCUAUAUAGCCGCCGAUACACACGUAUUUACAGUAUGUAUGUAUUGGUAUACAGCUCUGGGUGAAGGCAGCAACAAAUUUCAGCAAAUUACUAUGAGGUAACCAAAGAAGCAAGGUUUCCCAGAUCAGAUAUCCCAACACGAACGUAUAAAUCUUCUGAAGAAGGGUUCUAAGUACAGGUAAGACGUAAUAAGACUUUAAUACGUGGACUUAAAUGAAGCUUUGUUCUAGCAACAGUGUUUUUAGACAUAUUAUCUUGAAAUGAUAAGAUUAUAAGAGUUCAUAUAGUCAGCUAAGCCUAAUUUAAAUAGUGUUACCAUUUAAAUUUAAACUUUAAGUUCUUGGAAUUUGGAAAGCAUUACGAAUCUAUGAAUGCCAUAUCAUUUUCUACACGGCGCUUUUAUCGCUUUUCUAUGCCAAUAAAGUGUGUAUUGCAUAUGCAUUGGUUACUCUUUGAUUGCCACCGAAUGUCGACUAUACUAUAUACUAUAUAUCCGAUUUCAACGAUGGGUGGUGGGUGGGUUGGUGAUUGGCGGAAUUGUGAAGUACUUGGAGUACUCAUAUAGACCCAGCGACAAGUUGCAGUCAUUUACUUAACUUUCACAAUUUCGAUUUACACAUCUACAUGACUCCUCUUUAUUCUCCCCGCACAAUCAUAUAGAUAUAGGUAUAUAUAUAUAUAUGUAUGCAUAGAGAGAGAGGGAGCCUAUCCCCUUUGCCCUACGCCUCUGCGGUCGGCUGUCUACUCAAUCACAGCGUAAAGCACUUCUGAGUCAUAAAAACCAAGCCAGACUGCGAUUGUGCAGUUGGCAAUUUUAUGCAGCGCCACUUGGAGCACUCCGGAUCUCCGGAUUCGAGAUGCCAGCAGGGCAGGGUGGAGUGGUGCUGCAAAGUUAGGGGUUUCGGGGUUUACCAUGGAGUGAAGCGAUAAAAAUGACACAUGGAGCUCCACUCCAUUCUGUUCCAAAGGCAAAUGGCAAAUGGCAAAUAGCCGCGAGAGAAAGAGAGAGAUAGCCCUGUGGCAAGUGACACUUCGUGGGGGCAGAGACAUGGCCAAAAGGAGCCAAGCCGAUCGAGUUUGUCUCGCGAAGUAAGAGUUAUAUCCUUAAUUCACUGCGGACAUCACCUCCUCGAAUGACAAAGACUUCAAUUACUUUAUAUAGAAUAACAAGCAAAUCUUUCGUUUCUAUUCAUAUAAGUUAUUAGAAACUGCAAAAUAUAUGCGUUUUCAAGGUUUUCAAAUAUAUAUUUUAAACACCAGAAGUACUUUCCUUUUUAUUUAUUUUUUGUUUUUGAAGAAUGUCAAACAUGUUUUCGAAAGCAAUUACAACAUGCAAUUAAAAAUCGCCUGCGCUGAAACAAAAAACCGUUUCGUUUUGGCCUGCAGACAAUCGGGAUUGCAUAACCGGGAAACAUAUUUCUGGUCUCGUUUUGACUUAUUUUUUUAUAUGUAUACAUAUAUACGUACAUUUGUGUGUAUUUAUAUAUCUUUUGUUUUAUACAGUGUCCGAAAAACGAGAGCGACAAGUUGACACAAUCGUGGACAACUUUUUUCGUACACAAGCCAAUCAACUGUGGCACAGCAGAAAGCUCAAAAAAAGAGGAAAUAAUUAUGGAAAAACAAUUUUUAAUUUGCAAUUGCACUCGCAACAGCAGCAGCGCAGUAACAACCGAAAAACUUAACAAGCCAACCUUGGCGUUUAUGCCCUUUAAUGGGGAUUUUUAUACGUAUUUUUAUACCGCUUUUUGUGCGCCUCACCUUGAGAUAACUUUACGUGGAGUUGGAGUUGGAAUUGGAAUUGGAGUUGGAGUUGUAGUUGGAUGUGGAGGUGGAGCCAAUGGGCGAAACUCUGAGCUCACAAUGCAGCCCUUUGAUCGUGAACAGGCGCAACCUUGGAAUGAAAUCGGUGGGAUCUCUCUCUAUAAGGUAAGUGAGUAAUAUGAAAUAAAAAACCACUGGCCGAAUGAAAAAACCUCAAUUGCAUGGCUGUAGUCCAAAGCCCUUUAAACAAACAACUUCAUUAAUCAAUAAAAA